rnacentral:rRNA from 1 species
CGAACGCUGGCGGCGCGCCUAACACAUGCAAGUCGAACGAGCGAGAGAGAGCUUGCUUUCUCGAGCGAGUGGCGAACGGGUGAGUAACGCGUGAGGAACCUGCCUCAAAGAGGGGGACAACAGUUGGAAACGACUGCUAAUACCGCAUAAGCCCACAGGUCGGCAUCGACCAGAGGGAAAAGGAGCAAUCCGCUUUGAGAUGGCCUCGCGUCCGAUUAGCUAGUUGGUGAGGUAACGGCCCACCAAGGCGACGAUCGGUAGCCGGACUGAGAGGUUGAACGGCCACAUUGGGACUGAGACACGGCCCAGACUCCUACGGGAGGCAGCAGUGGGGAAUAUUGCACAAUGGGGGAAACCCUGAUGCAGCGACGCCGCGUGGAGGAAGAAGGUCUUCGGAUUGUAAACUCCUGUUGUUGAGGAAGAUAAUGACGGUACUCAACAAGGAAGUGACGGCUAACUACGUGCCAGCAGCCGCGGUAAAACGUAGGUCACAAGCGUUGUCCGGAAUUACUGGGUGUAAAGGGAGCGCAGGCGGGAAGACAAGUUGGAAGUGAAAUCUAUGGGCUCAACCCAUAAACUGCUUUCAAAACUGUUUUUCUUGAGUAGUGCAGAGGUAGGCGGAAUUCCCGGUGUAGCGGUGGAAUGCGUAGAUAUCGGGAGGAACACCAGUGGCGAAGGCGGCCUACUGGGCACCAACUGACGCUGAGGCUCGAAAGUGUGGGUAGCAAACAGGAUUAGAUACCCUGGUAGUCCACACCGUAAACGAUGAUUACUAGGUGUUGGAGGAUUGACCCCUUCAGUGCCGCAGUUAACACAAU